rnacentral:rRNA from 1 species
UGCAAGUCGAACGCUUCUUUUUCCACCGGAGCUUGCUCCACCGGAAAAAGAGGAGUGGCGAACGGGUGAGUAACACGUGGGUAACCUGCCCAUCAGAAGGGGAUAACACUUGGAAACAGGUGCUAAUACCGUAUAACAAUCGAAACCGCAUGGUUUUGAUUUGAAAGGCGCUUUCGGGUGUCGCUGAUGGAUGGACCCGCGGUGCAUUAGCUAGUUGGUGAGGUAACGGCUCACCAAGGCGACGAUGCAUAGCCGACCUGAGAGGGUGAUCGGCCACAUUGGGACUGAGACACGGCCCAAACUCCUACGGGAGGCAGCAGUAGGGAAUCUUCGGCAAUGGACGAAAGUCUGACCGAGCAACGCCGCGUGAGUGAAGAAGGUUUUCGGAUCGUAAAACUCUGUUGUUAGAGAAGAACAAGGAUGAGAGUAACUGUUCAUCCCUUGACGGUAUCUAACCAGAAAGCCACGGCUAACUACGUGCCAGCAGCCGCGGUAAUACGUAGGUGGCAAGCGUUGUCCGGAUUUAUUGGGCGUAAAGCGAGCGCAGGCGGUUUCUUAAGUCUGAUGUGAAAGCCCCCGGCUCAACCGGGGAGGGUCAUUGGAAACUGGGAGACUUGAGUGCAGAAGAGGAGAGUGGAAUUCCAUGUGUAGCGGUGAAAUGCGUAGAUAUAUGGAGGAACACCAGUGGCGAA